rnacentral:rRNA from 1 species
GACAGAGGCCUCAAGCGUUAGGCGGAAUCACUGGGCUUAAAGGGUGCGUAGGUGGCUCGUCAAGUGUUUUGUGAAAUCCCACAGCUCAACUGUGGAACAGCAGGGCAAACUGACGAGCUUGAGGCAGGUAGGGGCUGGAAGAACAGUUGGUGGAGCGGUGAAAUGCGUAGAUAUCAACUGGAAUGCCGAUGGGGAAGCCGUCCAGCUGGGCCUGUCCUGACACUGAGGCACGAAAGCGUGGGGAGCAAACAGG